AAAGUACAAAAUCAGGGAACCUGGGAAGGAGGGUGCUGGGUCUCAGCAUCGUUAGCUAUCCAUAUGGACCCUGAUGUUGCAGGGCGUUUACACCUCCCUUGAAGCACGGGUAGAGCUAUCCCAUUGCUGUGAUAUCCUCUGCUGAAUGGGAGCUCUUUUGGAGGAUUUCUCUGCCAUGUAAAGCCAGAUCUAAAGCCCAUUGAGUUAAACUGGCUUCUGAUCAGACCUUACAACAUCCUCCCAUGCUAGCAAAGCCAGCACAUAUUUUAGCUGCAGUAUUAGGCGCUCAGUAAGUGCAUUAGACAACUAGACUAAUUUAUAAUACUUCAGGGUGUGUGUUUGUACAGGUAUGUCUGCUGGCAACCACUGUGAUUCAUCUAGACAGACCCAGUAUGCAGCAUGCAAACUCCUGAUGCAUUCUGUGCUCUCUGAAUGAAAACUCCCCCUUUAGAAAAUGUGACUGUUUUUUCCUCUUUUUCAACAGAAAUUAAAUGUGCUGUUGGUACAGAGGUUUAGGUGCCAAAUAAAUGAGAGGCAAUAAAAAUAAUGCUGCUGAGAAAGUGGCAGGAGACCUAGUGAGAGGAAAGAUACUUGCUAACAGAGCAAAGGGAAACUAAAUUAACGUCGCUGCCAGUCAGAGGCUGGGUCUGACCGUGCUCCUUCGGCUCCUGCAGUUCUGCUGUGCCAGGGGACUUCGUGAAUGACUGCAGACGAUAUGCUCAGUAUUCUUCAGACUUUAAUCCAGGAGCAGUUAUUCUCAGGCUAGAAGAAGCACAACACACAGAGAACAGCUUUAUCCUCACCUGCCAUUUCUUGUCACACUCCCACGAUCUUUCCUUCAGGUGAUCUGGAAGCAGACGGUGAUGUGCGCUCCUUUGGGUGACUGCUAUAUCAAGGAGAGGUGACGUAUCAGUGGGUGUAUUUUUCUGAUCAUGCUCUGAAUGUCUGCUGGACAGGGAAAGUAUUAUUUGAGAAAUGUUUUUCCCCCAAGGAACUCCUCAACUAAUGCAACAGAAUAGUGAAACUUUCUAGACAAAAUCUGAG
rnacentral:lncRNA from 1 species